AUUCGAUCACUGCAAUCUAGACACAUUGGUGAUCAAAAGUUGUGCUAUUUGUGACUGUACGUUUAACCGCGUGCCCGUGACGACGUGUCGAAUUCCGCCGAUUGGCCAUAAAACAGAUAGUACUCAACUUCAGUGUAUCAUGUCCAAUCUCUAAACUUCACAUAGCCUAUUCUGUAACAGUCCCACCCUGAACACGUCCUCACAACUUCAGUGUACAUGGUGCGAGGGCCCGUUCAUCGCUGCUUGCAGCUUUAAUUUUUCUAUUGAAUCCCAUGAGUCACUCCAUCGGCAGACAUAUGUGACAAAGACCACAAACAUAUGAAUGUUUAAAUGUGUGAUUAUAGAACUUGUGUUGAACUAUAUAUCACUUCAGUCUGGUUCCUGAAUCAUCAGUGCAGCUGGAUAGACGGCAGCCUCUACAUGUAAAAGCUAUCACAUCAUUUUACAGUGAAGUCAUUCUGAAACUGUAGCCAGAAGAGCAUGAGGAAAACACUGAGCGGAGUCACAGGGAGCAGAUAUUUCUGCAGCAGCAAGGUAUACCAAUCUAGUAGCAAAUCCCCUCAUGUGAAUGAUGGCAGAGACAGUCUGACAGACACAUGGGCUGAAGUGGGCCAAAGACGAAUAAUACACUUGUUCUAUUUAAAUAUCUGUCACAUUGGCAGGGGCAAAUCUCUGGCUGCUGUGACUGCUGCCACCCCAUCUACCAUUUGGGUGUCAAAUGCUGUCAAAACUAACACAUUCAUUUAAAAAUACCAUGGAAAAAACCUAAAUGAAUGUACUGAUCUGUUAUGGCCACAUUUUAGACUCAGUAAAUAAGCCUAUUACUUCGAUGACAAAGGGCAUGUAUUUGGAAAAAUACAUGAAGAUUUGGAAAAAACAAAUUUAUUGAUUUCUGCAGCCCUCAUUUGGGGGCUUUUUCAAACAAAUAAUGAUAUGUGAUUGUUUGUGACACCCCAUGAAUAUUUAUCUGGAUCCAAUCCUGCAAACUGGUGCAUGAUUAUUAAAUUUAGAAAAAGAAAAAAAAACACACAACACAAUUUACUCGAUGUGGGUUUGUUGAUGGUGUUGUGUGAUUUAGGUCUACCUCAUUUUUAAGGCUGCAUAAUUAAUCAAAGUAUUAUCAAAAUGGCAAUAUGGGCAAUUUUCAAAAGGCAGAAGCUGCAGUAAGGUAAAAUGUGUAACAGCCAGCAUUAUAAUAAAGUACUGCAAAGAUGUCCUGGCCUACGAAUCUUGUUCUCCAGAACUUUUUUGUAUGAUGUUUUUAUCAUAUUGUGCAGCCCUUAGUUUACCUUCUGUUAUUUAUCGAGUUACAACAUAAGUGUAAUACUCAAGUGAAAUAUUCAAGUGAAUGUAUAAAUACAAAACAAAGCUACAUGAUAUGGUAAAAACAUCAUAUUGCGAUCAUUUUGAUAGAUAUUGCGAUAUAAUUAAUGUGGGAACGAUCAUUUUUGCAUCGGCAAAUUAAUUUUUUUUUCUAAAAAAACUAUUAAAAUCAUGAUGAUGACUAAUGUAAUCCAUUAUAAAGCUGUUUGUCACACAUUGUACCUUUAUCAAGACAUUGUAGCUUCUGUGAUUUGCAUAUUGCACUUGGCCAUAUUGCGAUUGUGGUUUAUUGCGUAGACCUGAUACAGAGCCGUUCCUCCUGGAAAUGUUACUAUUUACAGAGGUAGUCUAAUUUAGUGGUUGGCAUUUUAAAUGAAGCAAGAGGGAAGGAAGUCCCAGGCUGACGCGACAACUACAAAUGAAUAUGUAUUUUUUUUUUAGCUGGAAUACGUUUUUGAAGAAUAAAUCGGCGGGUCAAAUUUGAAUCCAGACAAAUGAACAUGUCUGCUUAGGAAAAGUGUUGCCCGACAGAGAGCAGCGGGUCUAAAGCUGGAUGGAACCAUGCAGACUGUUUUGGUAGCCUAUGGAUGAUAUGCUAUGAGGAAUUGAUGAGCUUUCAUUCGGCUGCAGGCGGAGGGCGGAGUCUCAGUGUCCACAGUUUGUUGAGAUGGCUGUUUCGCCUUGAACUCCGCCUCCCAGUCAUCACUUCCUUCCAGACUGUGUGCUGCUGUACAAACCGGGCGAUGUGGCGUAGCACCGACAGGGGCGGAUCGAGAGAAAUAUUUAUGGGGUGGCCAGAGGGUCGCAUGGACACUUUAAAGCUGCAGUAGGUAACUUUUAUUAUAUUGGCUGAAACAUUUACUAUAUCCUGACAGUAGUUAAUGAGACAGAAAAUCUGGUUCCUUUGGCUCUUUGUGGUGUUCCUAAUGGUAUUUGCAAGAAUCGUAAACAAACACAACCAAUCAGAGCAAAGAUGAAUGGGUUGAUAGCUUGAAAAUGGUCGAUUGUUGAGUCUCAUUACCAUUGUCGGUAUUUGACGACCUGGGAAUGAGACUCAACAAUCAACUAUCUGGUUCUCAUUGGUUAUUUUUCUUCAGGUAUGGUAGAUUCUUGCAAAUACCAUUAGGAGCACUAGGAGCAGCCAGAGGAACCUGAUUUUUUCACAGAUUAUCUGAUCUGAUCACAUAUCUGCCUCAUAUAUGAACCAGAAUAUAGUGAAAAGUUUUAUUAAAUAUGAAAAGAAAUUAUUUUUAUAAAAAUUACCUACUGCAGCUUUAAGGGGCAGCAGAAGUAUAUGCUGAGUAAUGAAGAUAUUUGAACUUUUGCAAACAUUGCAUUAUUGCGGCACAAGCAUUGAAUAAAAAUAUGUAAAGAUGGCAUUAGAAAUCAAUAAAUUGUUUUAUUUCCAAAUCUUCUGACAUUUUUAAAAA